AACAAUAUGCCAUGACCCCUGCCAACCUGCCCAUCAUUACCAUUGCAACACUGUGCACUGUACCCAAAAAGUUCACUGUGACCCUUGCAAUCCCUGCAAUCCUUGUCAUUUCUAUGGAAAGUACAAGUACGAGUAUUCCCACAUUUUGAGCAGGACCCGAUCAUUCAUCAGUCCAACAAAUGCCUUUAAUUCUUCCAGUCCUCUACUGUUUGCUUAUCCUUUCAUAGCUGUCUUAGUACCAAUUGCUUGUCUUCUGAAUGUAUCUAUUCAGCAGUGAAUGUUACUGUUCCAUUAAAUUAUCUCAAUUUGGCA